CACGUAGGGUGCGAGCGUUGUCCGGAAUUAUUGGGCGUAAAGAGCUCGUAGGCGGUGUGUCGCGUCGGCCGUGAAAACCUGCAGCUUAACUGUGGGCGUGCGGUCGAUACGGGCAUCACUGGAGUUCGGCAGGGGAGACUGGAAUUCCUGGUGUAGCGGUGAAAUGCGCAGAUAUCAGGAGGAACACCGGUGGCGAAGGCGGGUCUCUGGGACGGUACUGACGCUGAGACGCGAAAGCGUGGGGAGCAAACAGG
rnacentral:rRNA from 1 species